rfam:Haemophilus influenzae PittAA ctg2, whole genome shotgun sequence.
GCCGAGAGGGCGGAGAAUACAACACCCGAAAGGGGAAUAAUCCCGGCCGUUCUUUGUUUCGGUUUACGAACCUCUUGGCGACCCUAU